UUCAGACAGUUCCAGAAUGCUCCAAAAGAAGCACUUGCUCAGUGUGUCUUGGCAGAGAUUCCCCAGCAGGUGGUGGGCUACUUCAAUACAUACAAACUCCUUCCUCCCAAGAACCCAGCCACGAAACAACAGAAGCAGUGACCACUUCAACAGAAUUCUUUUGUGUUAUGUGGAGCAAUGCCAUCUCUCACCCCAAAUCGUGUAUCUGUCAUUCUACGUACUUUUUACCCCCAGCAUUUAUGAUGUAAAUCUCUUUCUCUAUGGAUUAUAUCUGUUUAAAGCAUUCUUUCUAGGUUAUUUUGGGGGGACAGUGCCAAGUCCAUCUUUGCCCAGUCAAUUCAGUGAUUGAUAGCAAUUUACAUUAAUUGCAGUAAAGCUCUUUGGAUUAGAAAUUAGUGUGGGGAAAGCUUAUUCUGUUGUUGUUUUUGUUUACUUUCAUAUGAUGAAAAUGCUGUGUUUAAGUGUUUGUCAAUAGGAAGAAUGGAAAACUGUUGGGAUGAUGUGGUUUGCAGGUUGCUGUGCCUGAUUCACAGUGUAUGUUGUAUAAGCCAAUGUCCAUACCUGAUUAUGAGAGCUUCUUAAAUUAUAUGAUAUCAAAUUUGUUCCUGUAACUCUGUAUACAGUGCUUUUCUGCAAGGUAAAAAUAACCUGUCUAUGCAUCUGAUUUUUGCUACAGUUUAGACACUGUGGUUUACAAAACAGCAUGCACUCAACUUGGGACUUUAUGAAAAGUACUGAAUGAGCAGGAAAAGGCACAUACUCAGUUUUUUAAAUGUACAAUCAACAAGUAAAAAUAACCUCAUGUAAGUAAGCCAUUUUUAUUUGCCUUUCUAGAUAUUUUAUUUUAUUGUGGAAAACUGUAAACAUGGUCAGAUUUGGCUUUUUUUUUCAUUAACUGAGCAAGACUUUCAGGAUAUUGUAGAUGCACAGAUGGUAGGUUGUCCUGAAUUCUACAUUAUUAGAUUACUUUAAUUGAGAUUUGUUAAAACGGUUAGGACUGUUUUGUCCAGGAAAGAUAAGAGGACCAAACAUAUAAGGUGAAAUUCAGAAUUCCGUUUCCUUCUAACUAAUGAAAAACUGCUUACUAAAAAAAAAUUUUAUACUUUCCUUGCUAAGGUCCCAUAUAUUGAUUUGUACAGAUCCACUUAGUCAUUUUCUCCUUUUUUUAAGAACCAUUUUCAUCUGAUUUUUAAACUCACGAUACCAGUUAUCUGUUAAUCAAAAUUGCAUUUUACAAUUUAAUAAUGUGAUAUUUCCUAUGUCUACAGCAUACCUUAUUAGGUAUAAAACCUACUGCAAC
rnacentral:lncRNA from 1 species